rnacentral:lncRNA from 1 species
AUGGGGGAAGGGAGAGGAAGAAGGAGCUCAGCAGGCAGCCAGGAGGAGGUUCUGCUGGUGAGACAGAGUCACUCCUUAGUCACUCCCUUCUACUCAUCUUUCUUCUUAUCAUGUUAUCUACUCUGCUUCCCAGCCACGGUCAAUGCUUAUUAUUUGUUUCCCCUCAAGAAACCAUUUCCCAACGCAAAGCUUGGCCAGUUGUUGAAUUCUUGAGCAUUUCCUUUUGACUUCAGGAUACAACAUCACAAAAGAAGAACAAAAAUCAAUAAUCUGCUUGGAUUUUUAAUGGACAUAAGACAGAAAGAUGAUCAGCAUAGAUUAAAUACCUACAUACAUGCAAGUGCAUUCCCUCCUCACACUGAAAUUUUACUAGUCUCACUUUAAGUGAAAGGGUAGGUACUGUUUCUGUCUGAAUUUAUGUAAAUAUAUGAAAAGCUAAUGCAAAUAUAUGGCCUUCUGCUCUCUUGCUGUUCAGCAAACAGUUUGGAAGAGUUUUGGAACCAUUUAUGAGUUACUACACAACAAAAUUCUUGAAACAUCCAGUAUGGUUUUACUGUUACUCAAAAAAUGUCUCAGUUAGCUCAGCCUUCAACAUAAUCUACAAACUGCCCUCCCCCACUAAGCAGGAUAGGGCAACAAGACUAGCAAGCUAUUAAAAAGAAAUGUACAAAUAUUUGCUUCUAGGUGCAUGCACACAACUCAGAACACACACCCUGCAUAUGCUAGAAGCAGAAAAACACAUACCAUACAUAUAAAACCCCCCCCACAUAUGCAAGCACAUGCUCACAAAGACAUGUAGGUGCAAACUUAAAACAUGUAUCAGUAGAAAAACACCAUACUUCCUAUACUCGCAAAAGUAUAUGCAAAUAACAAAGACAAUAUCAUCACAGUACACAAACUUGCACGUAUAUAUGUACAUGCAUAUAUGCUAUAUGUAUAUAUAUGCAUAUACAUGCACACACCUGCAUAAACACACAGCAUAAACAAAUCGCAGCACAAAAAUUGUAACUUACCAUACAGAGAAAAUUACAUUCAUACUGUUCUCCAAGCUGCAUACAGACAUGCAUAUUGUCUGUGUUCCCAUACAAAGCUCUAUCAUGUAACUUCUGUAUGUCUCUCAUUUUGUUUAAGGGCAUAUGACUCCUAAAAGGAUGGAGACAAUUCUGCUGAGUUUGCAAUGCAACUUAAAACAGAUAACAGAACAUACUGAAAA